GACGAACGCUGGCGGCGUGCUUAACACAUGCAAGUCGAACGGAAAGGCCCUGCUUUUGUGGGGUGCUCGAGUGGCGAACGGGUGAGUAACACGUGAGUAACCUGCCCUUGUCUUUGGGAUAACUUCAGGAAACUGGGGCUAAUACCGGAUAGGAGCUCCUGCUGCAUGGUGGGGGUUGGAAAGUUUCGGCGGUUGGGGAUGGACUCGCGGCUUAUCAGCUUGUUGGUGGGGUAGUGGCUUACCAAGGCUUGGACGGGUAGCCGGCCUGAGAGGGUGGCCGGCCACAUUGGGACUGAGAUACGGCCCAGACUCCUACGGGAGGCAGCAGUGGGGAAUAUUGCACAAUGGGCGGAAGCCUGAUGCAGCAACGCCGCGUGCGGGAUGACGGCCUUCGGGUUGUAAACCGCUUUCGCCUGUGACGAAGCGUGAGUGACGGUAAUGGGUAAAGAAGCACCGGCUAACUACGUG
rnacentral:rRNA from 1 species